UUAAAAACCAAUUGUUCAGAGAACAAUUGAAGGUCUUUCCACUAGUAAAGGUCUAUUUUGAUAUUGAAAUAUGAAAAAUCAGUUUAAAAUGUUAGUUCCUAUGGCUUUAUGAUGUAUUUAUAUGAAUUUAAAGCAAAGGUCAAAAUCUAGAACGUCGUAUUAACCUAUGACCUUGACCUCAAUUUCAAGGUCACAAACCAAGGACCUUAAAUCAAAAGACCCUAGGUCUUUAAUAUGUUUGGUUAAUGAGUAAUACCACUUUACGCGUAAUUCUAAAUGUAAGAUGGACAAAAACUCCCAUUUAUUGUAUGCGCACCCUUUCAACCAAAAUAUACAAGUAAGGACAUGUCGCAACUAACAAUUUAGGAAAAAAUAUUUGUCGAUAUGUCAUACGGUAUUUGAAAAUAAGUGAAAAUAAGCCAAAAUCAAAUUUUAGAAUAUGACCUUGACCUUUGACCUUGACCUUAUUUUCAUUUUUUUGGACCAAGGAUCUCAAAUCAAGAGACCCUAGGUCUCUAUCACUUAUGGUUUACCAGUUAGAAACGCAUAUCACCUUAUAUCAAAUACAUAAGGGGGAAUAACUCUCAUAUGGAGUCUCUGGAUAGCUUCGGUCAAAAUAAAAAUCCUAAUCCUGAAGAUGUAACGAGCAAUUUGGUAAAAUAAAUUUUGUCGUAAUCUUUUACGGUUGCGAAGGAGUAGUGGCCACAAGAAAAACAGUGUUUGGGGAGAUAACUCUUACAACGUAAAGUAUUUUGUUACGCAGUUGUAAAGUUUUAAAAGCGUAUAAACUAUACGAUAUCAUAUUCCAAAUAUCUAAGCGACAUCUUAUGAAACAACAAUACUACGCAAGAAAAAAAUUAGGCGGAAGAAAAAAAAAAAAAAAAAAAUAAUAAUUAAAAACCAAUUGUUCAGAGAACAAUUGAAGGUCUUUCCACUAGUAAAGAUCUAUUUUGAUAUUGAAAUAUGAAAAAUCAGUUUAAAAUGUUAGUUCCUAUGGCUUUAUGAUGUAUUUAUAUGAAUUUAAAGCAAAGGUCAAAAUCUAGAACGUCUUAUUAACCUAUGACCUUGACCUCAAUUUCAAGGUCACAAACCAAGGACCUUAAAUCAAAAGACCCUAGGUCUUUAAUAUGUUUGGUUAAUGAGUAAUAUCACUUUACGCGUAAUUCUAAAUGUAAGAUGGACA
rnacentral:lncRNA from 1 species